rnacentral:rRNA from 1 species
GGGUGAGUAACACGUAUGCAACCUGUCCGUCUCAGGGGGAUAAUCGUCGGAAACGGCGUCUAAUACCCCGUAUGAAGCUGGACGGCAUCGUCUGGUUUUGAAAGAAUAUCGGAGACGGAUGGGCAUGCGGCGCAUUAGCUAGUUGGCGGGGUAACGGCCCACCAAGGCGACGAUGCGUAGGGGUUCUGAGAGGAAGGUCCCCCACACUGGUACUGAGACACGGACCAGACUCCUACGGGAGGCAGCAGUGAGGAAUAUUGGUCAAUGGGCGAGAGCCUGAACCAGCCAAGUCGCGUGAGGGAGUACUGCCCUAUGGGUUGUAAACCUCUUUUGUCGGGGAGCAAAAGCCGGACGUGUCCGUCUGUGAGAGUACCCGAAGAAAAAGCAUCGGCUAACUCCGUGCCAGCAGCCGCGGUAAUACGGAGGAUGCGAGCGUUAUCCGGAUUUAUUGGGUUUAAAGGGUGCGCAGGCGGAUUUUUAAGUCAGCGGUCAAAUCGUGGGGCUCAACCCCAUCCAGCCGUUGAAACUGGGGAUCUAGAGUGUGCGAGAGGUAUGCGGAAUGCGUGGUGUAGCGGUGAAAUGCAUAGAUAUCACGCAGAACCCCGAUUGCGAAGGCAGCAUACCGGUGCACAACUGACGCUCAGGCACGAAAGCGUGGGUAUCGAACAGGAUUAGAUACCCUGGUAGUCCACGCAGUAAACGAUGAAUGCUACCUGUUUGGCCAGAUUGAAGGCUGAGCGGGACAGCGAAAGCGUUAAGC